CUACACUCUAACCAUAGUGCUACCUGCUACUACUGCCUCUACACUCUAACCACUAGGCUACCCUGCCUCCUCUACACUCUAACCACUAGGCUACACUGCCACCCCACAAGGUGAAAAAAAAAACUAAAAGCAGAUUUUACCUAAACUGGGUGGUGACAUCCCAUAUAUUCGACAACACCAUAGAGUCAUAUAGACGACAUCACCAUAUAGUCGACAUCACCAUAGAGUCAUAUAGACGACAUCACCAUAGAGUCAUAUAGACGACAUCACCAUAGAGUCAUAUAGACGACAUCACCAUAGAGCCAUAUAGACGACAUCACCAUAGAGUCAUAUAGACGACAUCACCAUAGAGUCAUAUAGACGACAUCACCAUAGUCAAUAACCAGAAUGAAUGCUCAGAAUUCUUAAUUUGUGGGUCUCCAAAUUUCAUCCAUGCAAAUUGAAGACCCACAAAUGAAGAAUUCUGAAUAACGACCCAGGUUAUUUAUAUCUUACUGUGCGAUACAUUUCAUGUCGAUAUGACUUUCAGUUUGCUUCCAUUCAAGUAAAAGGUUUCUGUAGGGCUAAACCCUGCCAAAUUGUUGUAUGCAAAUUGCCGUAUGCAAAUUGCCGUAUGCAAAU
rnacentral:lncRNA from 1 species